GGCGGUGGAGCGCAGGCUUCGCGCCAUUACGGCCAUCACGGCGGCCGCGGCGGCGUCCCGGUGCCUUCCUCAGUGCCGAAGCUGCUGAAAGAUGGCAGAAGAAGUGGUGGUAGUAGCCAAAUUUGAUUAUGUGGCUCAACAAGAACAAGAAUUGGACAUCAAGAAGAAUGAGAGAUUAUGGCUUCUGGAUGAUUCUAAGUCCUGGUGGCGAGUUCGAAAUUCCAUGAAUAAAACAGGUUUUGUGCCUUCUAACUAUGUGGAAAGGAAAAACAGUGCUCGGAAAGCAUCUAUUGUAAAAAACCUAAAAGAUACCCUAGGCAUUGGAAAAGUGAAAAGAAAACCUAGUGUGCCAGAUUCUGCAUCUCCUGCUGCUGAUAGUUUUGUUGACCCAGGGGAACGUCUCUAUGACCUCAACAUGCCCGCUUAUGUGAAAUUUAACUACAUGGCUGAGAGAGAGGAUGAAUUAUCAUUGAUAAAGGGGACAAAGGUGAUCGUCAUGGAGAAAUGCAGUGAUGGGUGGUGGCGUGGUAGCUACAAUGGACAAGUUGGAUGGUUCCCUUCAAACUAUGUAACUGAAGAAAGUGACAGUCCUUUGGGUGACCAUGUGGGUUCUCUGUCAGAGAAAUUAGCAGCAGUCGUCAAUAACCUAAAUACUGGGCAAGUGUUGCAUGUGGUACAGGCUCUUUACCCAUUCAGCUCAUCUAAUGAUGAAGAGCUUAAUUUUGAGAAAGGAGAUAUAAUGGAUGUUACUGAAAAACCCGAAAAUGACCCAGAGUGGUGGAAAUGCAGAAACAUCAAUGGUAUGGUUGGUCUAGUACCAAAAAACUAUGUUACCAUUAUGCAGAAUAAUCCAUUAACCUCAGGUUUGGAACCAUCACCUCCACAGUGUGAUUACAUUAGGCCUUCACUCACUGGAAAGUUUGCUGGCAAUCCUUGGUAUUAUGGCAAAGUCACCAGGCAUCAAGCAGAAAUGGCAUUAAAUGAAAGAGGACAUGAAGGGGAUUUCCUCAUUCCUGAUAGUGAAUCUUCGCCAAAUGAUUUCUCAGUAUCACUAAAAGCACAAGGGUAAAACAAGCAUUUUAAAGUCCAACUAAAAGAAACUGUCUACUGCUUUGGGCAGCGCAAAUUCAGCACCAUGGAAGAACUUGUAGAACAUUACAAAAAGGCACCAAUUUUUACAAGUGAACAAGGAGAAAAAUUAUAUCUUGUCAAGCAUUUAUCAUGAUACUGCUGACCAGAAGUGACUGCUGCAUAGCUGUAAUUUAACGUGUAAUUGAACACUGAGAAAAUGUUGGGUCCAGUUGUGCUUGAUUGGAAAUUGCUGUUUCUAACUCUAUAUGAGAAUGACUAUAAUAAUAUUUUUAUUAUAACUCAGCCCAUACAUAUAUACUUGGUAUGCAGUGCAUCUGCAUAAAAUAAUUCCUUAUCCAUG